rnacentral:rRNA from 1 species
UACGUAGGGGGCAAGCGUUGUCCGGAAUCAUUGGGCGUAAAGAGCGUGUAGGCGGUCCGGUAAGUCGGCUGUGAAAGUCCAGGGCUCAACCCUGGGAUGCCGGUCGAUACUGCCGGACUAGAGUUCGGAAGAGGCGAGUGGAAUUCCCGGUGUAGCGGUGAAAUGCGCAGAUAUCGGGAGGAACACCUAUGGCGAAGGCAGCUCGCUGGGACGUUACUGACGCUGGAGACGCGAAAGCGUGGGGAACAAACAGG